GUACUGUAUAUAUAUAUAAAUAUAUUAUGAUGCAGGAAAUCGUUCAUUUAAACUCGGCUAACAGUGGACAGAGUAGCGCUGAGCAUUAGGAUCUGAUUUAAAGACUAUGCUGAACAUGUUGUGUUCGUUUCCAAACAAGAUUACUCGCCGAUAGCUGGUCAAACAACAGAUUAUCACAAAGUUUAAAUCCUACGCAUUUAUUCGACGUGUGGCUCAAAUUCCUACAAAUAAUGCAUACAUCAGGUUCUAAGGUUUAAACACACAGGAGGCUCAGCAAAGAUAAACUCUGCCUUAAUCGUUAACUGAUAGUUCAAACACCCCGUAAGGGCCAUUAGGGGGAAUAUUUCAGACACGUGUUUGUGUAAGAGACAUUACUACUACUACACACCAGUAAUUGGAAUUCUCUGCCAAAAGCUUUUUGGGUCAACGUCAGCUGCUCUUACAGGCCAAAAAAACAGGGGGGGGAGGUUGUGUGAAAAAGAAAAUCCCUGACAUUUUGAUUCAAUCAAAUAUGUUGUAGAAUGGUUGUUGAAUAUUAAACUGUCUAAGAAGCUGUUGCAGGAUUCUAUGGGCUCAUGGUUACAUUUGAAAGUGGUUUUAAUGAAUCUGUGGGCAGUGGGGGUCAGGCUUGGGAAUGAUUUUUGAUAGUCAAAGGAUGUUAGCAAAUACAAAUUACCAACAAACUUUAUAGAAGCAGAUGAUCUCAGUCACAUUUCUGACCCACUGGAGCAUAUGUGUGUGUGUGUGUGUGUGACUAUAUGCUGUACAUGGAAAAUUCCUUAUAACAAGCCUUGAUAAACACUGAAGGGGACAAAAAAAUGCACCACUGCACAAUAAUGCCUCCAUAUUGUUUUCAUUUACAUAUUCACAACAGGUUAUUUUUUUAUUACACCAUAGAAGCAUAGAUGCAAUACUUGUGAAAAAGGUGGAAAAAGAACACAUUCAGUCAUCCUAAAUGAACAAGUUAAUUGCCUGGCGUCGGGGCAGGGCGGACUGAAGAAACCGAAUAAUACAAGCAUCGAAACGAAGACAAGCAGAAUGAAAAUGGCAGUUGGAAAGAAUUGUCUCUUUUUUUCUGAGUAGCUGGAAACAAGAAUCUAGUCCUGAGAGAAUACGCACCAGAGAGCAGAAGCUUUUAACAUCUUGCACACUCCUGCCUACUUCAGUGCAACGCUGUGUUUGAGCAGAAAUGUCCAUAUGUUGCAUCAGCAAUAGGCCGGGAUGGACGAUGGAGGAAAGAAAAAUGAGCAUCAUUCUUUUCAAAUCAGCAUGGAGCAUGUUGAACAUUAUAAAUAGCAAAAAAAAGAUGUUUAUAAACCAAUAAAUAUUCACCAUGGACUGGUGACAUUCUUCCAAUA